rnacentral:rRNA from 1 species
AUACCCGGGUAGUCCCAGCUGUAAACGAUGCAGACUAGGUGUUUGGACGGCCACGUGCCGUUCUAGUGCCGCAGGGAAGCUGUUAAGUCUGCCGCCUGGGGAGUACGAUCGCAAGAUUGAAACUUAAAGGAAUUGGCGGGGGAGCACCACAAGGGGUGAAGCUUGCGGUUUAAUUGGAGUCAACGCCGGAAAUCUCACCGGGAGCGACAGCAGUAUGAAGGCCAGAUUAAAGGUCUUGCCAGACGAGCUGAGAGGAGGUGCAUGGCCGUCGCCAGUUCGUGCCGUGAGGUGUCCUGUUAAGUCAGGCAACGAUCGAGACCCGCGUCCUCUGUUGCAACUAGCUUUGAGCUGGGCACACUGAGGAGACCGCCACUGAUAAAGUGGAGGAAGGAGCGGGCCACGGCAGGUCAGUAUGCCCCGAAUCUCCCGGGCCACACGCGAGCUGCAAUGGCAGGUACAAUGGGUUCCGACCUCGAAAGGGGAAGGCAAUCUCGAAAGCCCGCCGUAGUUGGGAUCGAGGGCUGCAACCCGCCUCGUGAACAUGGAAUCCCUAGUAAUCGC